CCUACGGGUGGCAGCAGUGAGGAAUAUUGGUCAAUGGACGAGAGUCUGAACCAGCCAAGUAGCGUGAAGGAUGACUGCCCUAUGGGUUGUAAACUUCUUUUAUAAAGGAAUAAAACGAGGCACGUGUGCCUUUUUGCAUGUACUUUAUGAAUAAGGAUCGGCUAACUCCGUGCCAGCAGCCGCGGUAAUACGGAGGAUCCGAGCGUUAUCCGGAUUUAUUGGGUUUAAAGGGAGCGUAGAUGGGUUGUUAAGUCAGUUGUGAAAGUUUGCGGCUCAACCGUAAAAUUGCAAUUGAUACUGGCAGUCGUGAGUACAGUUGAGGUAGGCGGAAUUCGUGGUGUAGCGGUGAAAUGCUGAGAUAUCACGAAGAACCCCGAUUGCGAAGGCAGCUUACUAAACUGUGACUGACAUUGAUGCUCGAAAGUGUGGGUAUCAAACAGGAUUAGAUACCCGAGUAGUC
rnacentral:rRNA from 1 species